rnacentral:rRNA from 1 species
UACGGAGGAUGCGAGCGUUAUCCGGAUUUAUUGGGUUUAAAGGGUGCGUAGGCGGCUUUUUAAGUCAGCGGUGAAAUUUUGCAGCUUAACUGUAACAGUGCCGUUGAUACUGGGGAGCUAGGAUUUGGUUGCUGUGGGCGGAAUGUGUUGUGUAGCGGUGAAAUGCUUAGAUAUGACACAGAACACCGAUUGCGAAGGCAGCUUACUGGGAUGCCACUGACACUGAGGCACGAAAGCGUGGGUAUCAAACAGGAUUAGA